UACGUAGGGGGCAAGCGUUGUCCGGAAUCAUUGGGCGUAAAGCGCGUGUAGGCGGCCCGAUAAGUCCGCUGUGAAAGUCCAAGGCUCAACCCUGGAAUGCCGGUGGAUACUGUCGGGCUCGAGUCCGGAAGAGGCGAGUGGAAUUCCUGGUGUAGCGGUGAAAUGCGCAGAUAUCAGGAGGAACACCAAUGGCGAAGGCAGCUCGCUGGGACGGUACUGACGCUGAGACGCGAAAGCGUGGGGAGCAAACAGG
rnacentral:rRNA from 1 species